UGGUUUGUCGCGUCGUCUGUGAAAUCCCGGGGCUUAACCUCGGGCGUGCAGGCGAUACGGGCAUAACUUGAGUGCUGUAGGGGAGACUGGAAUUCCUGGUGUAGCGGUGAAAUGCGCAGAUAUCAGGAGGAACACCAAUGGCGAAGGCAGGUCUCUGGGCAGUAACUGACGCUGAGGAGCGAAAGCAUGGGUAGCGAACAGGAUUAGAUACCCUGGUAGUCCAUGCCGUAAACGGUGGGCGCUAGGUGUAGGGGACUUCCACGUCUUCUGUGCCGCAGCUAACGCAUUAAGCGCCCCGCCUGGGGAGUACGGCCGCAAGGCUAAAACUCAAAGGAAUUGACGGGGGCCCGCACAAGCGGCGGAGCAUGUGGAUUAAUUCGAUGCAACGCGAAGAACCUUACCUGGGCUUGACAUACACCAGAUCGCUGCAGAGAUGUAGCUUCCCUUGUGGCUGGUGUACAGGUGGUGCAUGGUUGUCGUCAGCUCGUGUCGUGAGAUGUUGGGUUAAGUCCCGCAACGAGCGCAACCCUUGUCUUAUGUUGCCAUCACGUGAUGGUGGGCACUCAUGAGAGACUGCCGGGGUUAACUCGGAGGAAGGUGGGGAUGACGUCAAAUCAUCAUGCCCCUUAUGUCCAGGGCUUCACACAUGCUACAAUGGUCGGUACAGCGAGUUGCCACACCGUGAGGUGGAGCUAAUCUCUCAAAGCCGGCCUCAGUUCGGAUUGGGGUCUGCAACUCGACCCCAUGAAGUCGGAGUCGCUAGUAAUCGCAGA
rnacentral:rRNA from 1 species